UUAUUUUUAAAUUCCAAGCGUUCUUUUGUUUAUUCCUUUUUCAUAGCAUCCUAUACUUAUUUAUGGAUAUAACAUCUUCUCAUUUCUAAAGACAUUAAUAACAAUUUUUCUUCUAUUUUAAUUGGCUCUGUUUGCUCUGGAUACCUUUUUACCUUUCAUUUUAUCAUAUUCAGAAGUUUCCCUCAAUUGUUUAUUAAUCUCUGUCUGACUUUAUAUUCACAAUAUGAAUCCCUGUUGGUAUUUAGGAACAGGUCAUUAAAGAGCUAAAUAGAAGCCGUGUGGGCAUAGGUAGGACUUGUCAGUGGUGAAUAUUUUUGUUGUUUGUGGUACCUCCAAAGUGUCACAAGUCAUUCCCCCUGAGGCUGUCAAGUUUCUUAGAGAAGCAGCUUCUAAUUUUCUAGGGGGACUUAAGCCUGGUUCCAGGGCGUGGGAUAAAAUAAACUGACAGUCCAUAACAUAUAAUGAACUGUGGUUCUGUGUCUCAGCGUUCAUUAUACAUUAUGUACUGUCAGUUUAUCUGGGUUUCAGUCUUGCCAGUGCAUAAACUGUGCUCUCCUUAGUUCUAUAGGCCGAAUUAGUUGUUCUUCUCCUCCUUCUCCUCCUCUUCCUUUUCCUAUCUUCUUUCCUUUAGUAAUCAAUGCUUAGAAAACUUUAGAUGGUUAAUGAGAAAAACAAGGAAAAAGGCAUCCAGUGGAAACAACUAAUUAAAAAGAAGAAAAAAAAUCAACUAUUGUAAUGUCUUUAAAGAUGAGAAAAAAAUACUGCAUUCAUACUUCUAAUUCAGACAUUUCACCUCUAUCUGCUUUCUUACAAAAGUUUGUUGGAAUUUUUAGUUAACCACUGUAUUCUCUUCUGUUCUCUUUGUCCUUGUAAAUUUUUAUAUUUUUCCUUCAGGAAGUUUCUUAGCUAUCAUCCUAAGGAAUGGGACAGAAAGGAUAUACUUGUGUGUGAUUAAUCUGCUAUGUUUAAUUGGACUUCUUAAGUUUCAUUUUUAACACAUUGCUAUAGAUAAGCUUGUGGAGAUAGAGGUUUGUUGCCAGAGUUGAGAAAUUUCACUUAGUGAUAGAUAUUUAGACCUAAUCAGAUUAACAUAAUUAUUGAAGCAUAUCCCAAGGAGUCUGAAGCAUGACAUUAUUUCAUUUAUUCACUCAACAUGUAACUAUCAAGCAUCCACUGUGUGCUGGCAAGAAGACGUCGGACUAGGAUGGAAUGUGAGGAAGGAGCAUAGAGGUCUUUUGGUCAUGGCAGCACAAAGCUGACUGAAACAACAGAGAAGAACAAGAGACAGACUGAAUCCACCCUCAGAUAUAGCUCAAAGACCAAGGAGAGAUUCUUAGAAUUAAGUAAUUGUGGCAUAAUGCACUUCUAGGAGCCACAAGAAGCAACACCUAACCAGCCUGCAGGCAUCCGGGAAAGCCUCCUGGGGGAGGUGUCCUCUGAGCUGGGCUCUGCAGCAGAGCCAGGAGGUAGCCUCCAGAAAUUUGUAUUUACAUAAUAUCCCUCUGCUUGGUAAUAAGAGAAGAGAGUAAACAACUAAGUGGAUCUUAUGUGUGGGGAUGGAGACAUUGGGGUGAAAGAAAAAGAACGUCUUCUAGGUAUGCAUUAAAUAAUGCAAUUAAAGGAAAAGGUUGUUAUCUGAAAAACACAACAUGAAAAUGAGAAUUUCAUUCUUAGAACAAGUUGGCAGUAAUCUUAAUACAAGCAUCUCUUCUAUGGGAACCAGUCUUCAUUUGUGUGAACUUUGUAGCUUGUGGUCUUUUCUUGGUAAUAUUAACAUGAAACAAA